GCAGGGAGGGUAGAAAGGACUGCCAAGCAGAGAAAGAAACAUGAAUCAGAACCAGCUAAUACAGGAUGGGAGAGUACAUGUGCCAUUAUCAAACACACAGAGGAGUGAAUAAGAAGCAAAGGAUAUUGCCACGGUUUCUACGGGACUGAACAAAGGGGGACCCACACAGGAAUGAAAACUUAAAACAAAAUUUCCAUCUUUUUAGGUUGUUUUCCUUGUGACUCAAAUGAGGAAGAAUAAACUUGGUUUAGGACUAUUCAAUGCCAGUGUUUUCAGAUGGCUCCACCAGCAGAGAACAGAGAAGGGGAGAAGAGGAAAAGCAGCUGGACGUCGGGGACUGCGGUUUGACGUCGGAGAGAAGCAGCUUGACUUCAGAGGGACAGCUUGACCGCUUUGCUUUGGAGAGGAGUCUGGCUGGGGAUGGCUGGACUCCAGGGGAAGAUCGUCUUCCUGUUCCAUCCCUUUUCCAGCUCCCCUCCCACUGAGAGCCACUUUCAUUGGCAAUAAAAUCCUCCAUAUUCACCACCCUUCAAUUCGUUCAUGCGACCUGAUUUUUCCUGGAUGCCAAACAAGAGCCCAGGUGCCACAGGUGUGGAUACUAAAGGCUGUCACACUGACCCUUUGCCCUUGCUGGCAGAGAGCAACCACUUCAUGCAAAAAGGCAGAGGGCCCACUGAGGUAUUUAACACUUAAGCUGUCCGUGGACAGCCAAGCUAAAAGAACACUGUAACACACUCCCUCUGGGGCUUCUGGGGUCCCUGGUAUUCCUGACGAGACACUGUCAUGGGGCCUGCAGGGAGUUUUGCUCCUGCCAACACCCAAAAGCACUCUUUCUGGCUCCUGCACCCGCUCACCUGCGUGCUUCCCCUUCCCUCAAGGGCUUGAGAGCUGCAGGCUGAGUAAGUAGGCACCCUUGUCACGAGGUCCAAAAAGGGAUCAAGGAAAAUUUCCUGUUUCAGUGCUUUGGCAAAAACUUGAGUCAAUGAUACAGAAAAGUUAUGAGAGUUGAAAUCCUUGUCUAGUUCCCACUCAUAAUUCACUGAUUUUUAUUUCUGUAGUUUAU
rnacentral:lncRNA from 1 species